rnacentral:lncRNA from 1 species
CCGGGGACAGGGUGUACUUCCAGGGGCUGGAGGAUUUGCUUGCACACAAGAGAAGGGUUCGAGGCCGCUGCCUGUGAUUCAGAUUUCUGCAAAUCCAAUCAUGUUUCCAAUGACCUAAGGGGGUUUCAUUUUAAGGCAAUCCUUCAGUGAAUGCUUUUCUUAGGAUUACAGAACCAACAAGAUAGCCCAGGCUACUUAGUCACCGAACCCUGAAGACCUGCCAGGUCGCAGGGACUGGGAGACAGAGAAAGAGGAGGAAAGAUAUUUACACACAUGACCUGAUGACAGCUCCGUUUGGAAAGGCAGGUGAAAAGAACCAAGUGAAAGGAGAGGAUGAUGAAUGAAACACACUAAGUGACGGAUUUGAUUAAGAAGGUCCCGUGGAGUUUCCACUGUGGCUCAGCAGGGCCAUCCUCUCCCGACUUCCAGCAUAUUCCCCCGUGGUCACAGAGCAAGUGGAGCGGGCAGCGGCUGGGUUCUCUCCACCCCAAGUCAACCAAGUACGUUAACGCCUGCGGCCUGGGUAUCCCCCAGAUCCUGCCCUGGGCCCCUUGGCCUCUUUCUUCAUCUCCAACGCCUUUGCUCACCUCGCUUGGCUAAAGGCAACAUCAUCCCCACUCUGCACAAGAAACUGUGCCACCCUGGCAAGCUGGCCAGCCCUCCUGUCCUCCGUGGGGCCUUCGCCUGACC